UUUUAAGAGUAAAAAUAACUAUCAGACUCAUAUAUCAAACCGCUUUUAUUUAACUUUGGAUAGAAAAAACAAAGUACUAUUAGACCAAUGAACCCACGUGCCAGUAACAAAUAUAUGCAUCAAUUAGGAAACAAUAUAUUAAAAAAUGCCCCUAUUUUUAUUAAAAAAUGGCAUAUCAACCACCUCUAGGGUUGGCAAAUUCCCCUUAGGGGGAUGUUUCAGCUCCACGGUGAUUCGGGGCCUCGUCGGGACGGGAGAGGGUUUUCACCCACAAGAACCUAGGAACAUUUAUUAAACUUUAAAAUAUAAUAAAUGGAAGACCCAUUAGCUAAAAGCCCAAUAUAAACCCUAGUGCAUGCCCUCUCAUUCUCUCACUCUUACCUUGACUCCUGAGCGGCGGCGGCGGCGCCGUAGCGCGGUGGGGUGAAGUAGAGGCAUGGCGGUCGACAUCUCCACGCCCUCUCCGACGAGUUGCGGUGAGUGCCUCCAUUUCUCUCAGUGCACUAUUCCUCGAGGGCACUGUCAGGGUCGGGAUCAGGGCCGGGGGAGGGUUUUACCCCGUUUUCAAUUUCAAGGCCAGGUCCAGGACGUUCUCGUCCAACCCGGCCCUAGCCCCGACAUGCCCUGUUGCUAACCCUAACCACCUUCACCAACUCUAUUUAUU
rnacentral:lncRNA from 1 species